AGAGUCAGUCUGAAAGUGUCCUUGCCCAGCGACCUGGGAGCAGCACUGACCGACGGGGUCGUCCUCUGCCAUCUGGCAAAUCAUGUGCGGCCACGAUCCGUACCCAGCAUCCAUGUGCCCUCCCCUGCUGUGCCCAAACUGACGAUGGCCAAGUGUCGGCGGAACGUGGAGAACUUUCUGGAGGCGUGUCGCAGGAUCGGGGUUCCACAGGAGAGGCUGUGCACAGUGGAGGAGGUUCUGGAUGGCCGGGGAGGCUGUGUUUACGGGACGCUGGGGGUCCUGCUUUCCAUGG